AAGCAGCAGCCGGCUAUGCGAGUAUAAAGUGCCUAAAAGCAGAUGACAUAGCCAGUGCAGUGGUAUAUGUCCUAAGUGCUCCUCCUUAUGUCCAGCUCGGUGAUGUUCAGAUGAGGCCUGUGGAACAGAUACCAUAACAGAUAAAAAAGAGCAUCUCUAACAUCUUUACCAGCAAUCGAACAGCUCAUAACAAAGACUAUAGAAAUACAAAGACAGUUCACUCCUAUGAAUGGAAGAAACUGCAACGCACAGUAUGGUGUAAUAGUCCCGCUUUCUAAAUGAAAGAGCCAGUUGCUGAUUGGUAAAGUCAUUGCAUCACUGCAACGGCUGCUAGAAGUGCCAGUUUCCAUAAAAACUUGAGGCUUGACUGGCCAAUGUGCAUGCACAGUCAUAAGGCGCAUUGGCUGGUCUAGGUUAAAAAAUAGGCUGUUUAAAUGCUAUUUGAGCAUCAGAAACAACAUUCGGGGCAGUUCAUUUCAUUUAAUUGUGAGUUCAGCGAGCAGUUUUUGAGAUUUCAGGAUUCCCCCAUUCAUUUAGAUAGGACUUGGUCUUGGAUGAGCUGCCCAGGGGCAUUGCAAAUAUGGAGCUGACUUUUCCUUUGCUCAAAAACAAUUGUCAAAGAUGGCAUUAGUGUCACUUAUAAUAUGUUUUCUUAAUUGUUAUUUACAAUACUCCAUAACCAUAACCAGUAUCUCUUUUGAGAUUUUUUUUUCUUCUUUGUAAUAAAAGACUAGGGGACUAAAACAUGUAUACAUAUAUAACUUACUUGUCAAAUGGGCAUGGCAGGGUAUGGCAGGUUAUGUUCGUCUUGACUAGGUGAUUACUGUAAUCUGGGUCAAUACAGUUAGGGAAGGUCAAAAAAACUCUCAUCUCAUUUUCAUCGCUGUUUUACCUUUUUUUUUUUGUAAAGGGAGUUUGACCUUCUUUGCCUAUUCACUUUGUAAACACUGGGUCGGUACUUUUGCAGCAAUAUAGGGCUAUUUUGAAGUUGGAGGAGAAAAUGAGAUGGGAGUUUUUCCGACAUAUCCUAACUGUAUUGACCCAGAUUACACAGAGUAUGCAUGCACAUCACAGAAAAGAUGAGCAUUUAAGGUUAAAAAGUAUUUUUUUUU